GACGAACGCUGGCGGUGUGCUUAACACAUGCAAGUCGAACGGAAAGGCCCUGCUUCUGUGGGGUGCUCGAGUGGCGAACGGGCGAGUAACACGUUAGUAACCUGCCCUUGACUUUGGGAUAAUUUCAGGAAACUGGGGCUAAUACCGGAUAGGUGCUCCUGCUGCAUGGUGGGGGUUGGAAAGUUUCGGCGGUUGGGGAUGGACUCGCGGCUUAUCAGCUUGUUGGUGGGGUAGGGGCUUACCAAGGCUUUGACGGGUACCCGGCCUGAGUGGGUGAUCGGCCACAUUGGGACUGAGAUACGGCCCAGACUCCUACGGGAGGGAGCAGUGGGGAAUAUUGCACAAUGGGCGGAAGCCUGAUGCAGCAACGCCGCGUGCGGGAUGACGGCCUUCGGGUUGUAAACCGCUUUCGCCUGUGACGAAGCGUGAGUGACGGUAAUGGGUAAAGAAGCACCGGCUAACUACGUG
rnacentral:rRNA from 1 species